ensembl:snRNA U6 U6 spliceosomal RNA
GUGUCUGCUCAGCAGCAUGUGCACUAGCACUGGAAUGAUACAGAGAAGAUUGGCAUGGCCCCUAAGCACGGAUGACACACAAAUUCAGGAAGAAAGCUUUUUUGUA